rnacentral:rRNA from 1 species
GACGAACGCUGGCGGCGUGCUUAACACAUGCAAGUCGAACGGAAAGGCCCCUUUGUGGUUACUCGAGUGGCGAACGGGUGAGUAACACGUGAGUAACCUGCCCUUGACUUCGUUAUAACUUCAUGAAACUGGGUCUAAUACCUGAUAGGAAUCCUUGCUGCCUGGUGGGGGUUGGAAAGCUUCGGCGGUUGGGGAUGGACUCGCGGCUUAUCAGCUUGUUGGUGGGGGAGUGGCUUACCAAGGCUUUGACGGGUAGCCGGCCUGGGAGGGCGGACGGCCAAAUUGGGACUGAGAUACGGCCCAGACUCCCACCGGAGGCAGCAGUGGGGAAUAUUGCAAAAUGGGGGGAAGCCUGAUGGAGGCAAGCCGGGUGGGGGAUGAAGGCCUUCGGGUUGUAAACCGCUUUCAGCAGGGGAGAAGCUUGUGGUGACGGUAACUGCAGAAGAAGCACCGGCUAACUACGUG